ensembl:ncRNA C18A3.16 ncRNA
ACAUCGUCAAGUGACAAACUGAAUGUUUGUGAAAUCCGAUAGGCAAGGAAAAAAGAAGACCGGAUUUGGCGGAGCUCUCCGCGAGAGGCUUUUGUUUCGCGCAUAAAUCUGAUAAAAAUUGUGCAGCACAACCAGCAAAACUGAUUAGAGAGUACAAAGGAUUAGGAGAGGAUAGACUUAAAAAAAGGUUA